rnacentral:rRNA from 1 species
UACAGAGGGUGCGAGCGUUACUCGGAAUUACUGGGCGUAAAGCGUGCGUAGACGGUUGCGUAAGUCAGAUGUGAAAGCCCCGGGCUCAACCUGGGAAUUGCAUUUGAGACUGCGUAGCUAGGGUGCGGAAGAGGAGUGUGGAAUUCCUGGUGUAGCGGUGAAAUGCGCAGAUAUCAGGAGGAACACCAAUGGCGAAGGCAGCACUCUGGGACGUGACUGACGCUGAGACGCGAAAGCGUGGGGAGCAAACAGG